AGAGGUAUACGGACUUGAAAUUCACAUUACAGACAUAAUACAUUCAUUGAAAUACAUACAUCUACAUAUCUUUCCAUCUCAAUACAUAGAUAAACAUUAAAGAAUGGGUAUAGGAUUUGGGUUGUCACGUCUACUCCAGCUCCUCCUCUCCGGCGUUUCGACGUCGCCGGUAUACUAACCACCGGUCCUGGAAUCCAUCACGUCAUCACGGCCGGUGGUUCCUGGUCCCCUUAGCUGAUGCUGUCCCCUACGACACCCCUCCACCCCCCCCUGGACAUCGAGGGGAGUCCGGCGUAUGCUGUCAGAUCCCUAUUGAACUCCCGGCGUCGGGGGGGUCGGCUCCAGUACCUGGUGGACUGGGAGGGGUACGGUCCAGAGGAGCGGUGUUGGGUUCCGGUGGGAGCCUCCCUCUGGAUGGUGUCGUCCUGCAGCGAGAGUACCUGGUGGACUGGGAGGGUUAUGGCUAAGAGUAUAGUAUACUGACGUCGCCGGUAUACUAACCACUGGUCCUGGGAUCCAUCGUUACGCACACCUGCAGAUCAUCAUGAUACUCACCUGGACUCCAUUACCUUCCUGAUUACCUCCCCUUUAUCUGUCACUCCCUUGGGUUCCUUCCUCAGUCAGUAUUGUUCCUUGGUUCAUGCAUUAUCGCCACUGUUAUUGUUGUCUUGUUUCAUGUUCGUUGUUUUAUUGAACGUUUCACCUGCACCUGCUUCUCAAUUCACAGCGUCUCCGUUACAGUGGUGUGAUUUGGGCUGGUUUUGAUAAGCCAACAGGUUAAACUUCAAGCUGGUGUGAUUUGGGCUGGUUUUGAUAAGCCAACAGGUUAAACUUCAAGCUGGUGUGAUAUGAGUAAUAAUAGGUUUAUAUAAACUACAGCAUCUAGAAGGUCUAGGGGGUUAGUUUAGGUUCUAUUGAUGUUACAGUGUUACUUCCUUACUUCCUUCCUGUUUCUUCUGCUUAGGGGGAAAUGUAAUUUAUUUAUUACAAAGCUAAACGUUUGAAUACCAAAUAGUCAAGUUGCCGAAUUAAUUAUGCAUUCAACUCAAGAGGGGAAGAGAAUAGGAGAAAUGUCAGACAGUUAGAAUUUUAAAAAAUAAAAUAGAAUAGAACGGUCCUAUAUUGAUACGCAAGAUAAGUAGCAUUCAGGGCAGGCGCAGAGCCCCAGCUGUUUUGAGCCCCACCUGUUCAGCAAAAAAAUACAUAAUAUACACAGCACCUGUCAAAAGAUUGGACACACCUACUACAUUGUAGAAUUAUAGUGAAAACAUCAAAACUAUGAAAUACCACAUAUGGAAUCAUGUAGUAACCAAAAAAGUAUUAAACAAAUCAAAAUAUAUUUUAUAUUUGAGAUUCUUCAAAGUUGGCACCCUUUUCUUUAAUGACAGCUUUGCACACUCUUGACAUUCUCUUAACCAGCUUCACCUGGAAUGCUUUUCCAACAGUCUUGAAGGAGUUCCCACAUAUGCUGAGCACUUGUUGGCUGCUUAUCCUUCACUCUGCCGUCCAACUCAUCCCAAACCAUCUCAACUGGGUUAAGGUCGGGUGAUUGUGGAGGCUAGGUCAUCUGAUGCAGCACUCCAUCACUCUCCUUCUUGGUCAAAUAGCCCUUUCACAGCCUGGAGGUGUGUUGGGUCAUUGUCCUGCUGAAAAACAAAUGAUAGUCCCACUAAGCGCAGAUCAGAUGGGAUGGCGUAUCGCUGUAGAAUGCUGUGGUAGCCAUGCUGCCUUGAAUUCUAAAUAAAUCACAGACAGUGUCACCAGCAAAGCACCCCCACACCAUCACACCUCCUCCUCCAUGCUUCACAGUGGGAACCACAAACGCAGAGAUCAUCCGUUCACCUACUCUGCGUCUCACAAAGACACGGCGGUUGGAACCAAAAAUCUUGAAUUUGGACUAAUCAGACCACCGGUCUAAUGUCCAUUGCUCGUGUUUCUUGGCCCAAGCAAGUUUCUUACUUUUAUUGGUGUCCUUUAGUCUCCUCUGAACAGUUGAUGUUGAGAUGUGUCUGUUGAGAUGUGUACUUGAACUGUGUGAAGCGUUUAUUAGGGCUGCAAUCUGAAAUCUGCAGUUAACUCUAAUGAACUUAUCCUCUGCAACAGAAGUAACUCUGGUUCAUUCUUUCCUGUGGCGGUCAUCAUGAGAGCCUGUUUCAUCAUAGCGCUUUGAUUGUUUUUGUGACUGCACUUGAAGAAACCUUCAAAGUUCUUGACAUUUUACAGAUUGACUGACCUACUGACCUUCAUGUCUUAAUUAACCUCUUACAUCUAGACGUUCCGCUAGCGGAACACCUGCUCCAAUAUCCAAUGAUAGGCGUGGCGCGAAUGACAAAUUCCUCAAAAAUACAAAAACGUCAAUUUUUCAAACAUAUGACUAUUUCACAGCAUUUUAAAGACAAGACUCUCCUUUAUCUAACCACACUGUCCGAUUUCAAAAAGGCUUUACAGCGAAAGCAAAACAUUAGAUUAUGUCAGCAGAGUACCAAGCCAGAAAUAAUCAGACACCCAUUUUUCAAGCUAGCAUAUAAUGUCACAAAAACCCAGAAGACAGCUAAAU
rnacentral:lncRNA from 1 species